CGGCAAUGGAGGAAACUCUGACCGAGCAACGCCGCGUGAACGAUGAAGUAUUUCGGUACGUAAAGUUCUUUUAUUAGGGAAGAAUAAAUGAUGGAAAAAUCAUUCUGACGGUACCUAAUGAAUAAGCCCCGGCUAACUAUGUGCCAGCAGCCGCGGUAAUACAUAGGGGGCAAGCGUUAUCCGGAAUUAUUGGGCGUAAAGGGUGCGUAGGCGGUUAAAUAAGUUUAUGGUCUAAGUGCAAUGCUCAACAUUGUGAUGCUAUAAAAACUGUUUAGCUAGAGUAAGAUAGAGGCAAGUGGAAUUCCAUGUGUAGUGGUAAAAUGCGUAAAUAUAUGGAGGAACACCAGUAGCGAAGGCGGCUUGCUGGGUCUUUACUGACGCUGAGGCACGAAAGCGUGGGGAGCAAACAGGAUUAGAUACCCUGGUAGUCCACGCCGUAAACGAUGAGUACUAAACGUUGGGUAAAACCAGUGUUGAAGUUAACACAUUAAGUACUCCGCCUGAGUAGUACGUACGCAAGUAUGAAACUUAAAGGAAUUGACGGGACUUCGCACAAGCGGUGGAUCAUGUUGUUUAAUUCGAAGGUACCCGAAAAACCUCACCAGGUCUUGACAUGCUUCUGCAAAGCUGUAGAAACACAGUGGAGGUUAUCAGUUGCACAGGUGGUGCAUGGUUGUCGUCAGCUCGUGUCGUGAGAUGUUGGGUUAAGUCCCGCAACGAGCGCAACCCUUAUUGUUAGUUACCAGCACGUAAUGGUGGGGACUUUAGCAAGACUGCCAGUGAUAAAUUGGAGGAAGGUGGGGACGACGUCAAAUCAUCAUGCCCCUUAUGACCUGGGCUACAAACGUGAUACAAUGGCUGUUACAAAGAGUAGCUGAA
rnacentral:rRNA from 1 species